CCUACGGGAGGCUGCAGUGAGGAAUAUUGGUCAAUGGCCGGAAGGCUGAACCAGCCAAGCCGCGUGAAGGACGAAGGUGCCAAGCAUUGUAAACUUCUUUUGUCAAGGGACAAAAUCAGGCUCGAGAGCCUGACCGAGGGUACUUGAAGAAAAAGCAUCGGCUAACUCCGUGCCAGCAGCCGCGGUAAUACGGAGGAUGCGAGCGUUAUCCGGAUUUAUUGGGGUUAAAGGGUGCGUAGGCGGGCUGUUAAGUCAGCGGUAAAAGCCCGGGGCUCAACCCCGGCGAGCCGUUGACACUGGUUGACUUGAGUAUAUUUGAGGUAGGCGGAAUGCGUGGUGUAGCGGUGAAAUGCAUAGAUAUCACGCAGAACUCCGAUUGCGAAGGCAGCUUACUAAACUAUAACUGACACUGAAGCACGAAAGCGUGGGGAUCAAACAGGAUUAGAUACCCGAGUAGUC
rnacentral:rRNA from 1 species